UACGAAGGGGGCUAGCGUUGCUCGGAAUCACUGGGCGUAAAGGGUGCGUAGGCGGGUCUUUUAAGUCAGAGGUGAAAUCCUGGAGCUCAACUCCAGAACUGCCUUUGAUACUGAAGAUCUUGAGUUCGGGAGAGGUGAGUGGAACUGCGAGUGUAGAGGUGAAAUUCGUAGAUAUUCGCAAGAACACCAGUGGCGAAGGCGGCUCACUGGUCCAUUACUGACGCUGAGGUGCGAAAGCGUGGGGAG
rnacentral:rRNA from 1 species